rnacentral:sRNA from 1 species
UCUAGUCUCUUAUAUUUGAUGCUCCUUUAUUUAGAAUCUAAAGUUAUAUAAACUGCAACACACCACAGUUUUGCAAAUUGAUAUUGCCUUCUUCGCAAAAAUAAGUUUUAUGACCAUUCUACAAAGAAUUGUAUUAUGAUUCCACAUUUUUAUUUCCCCUUUAUCCUUGAAACAUAGACAAAGAGUAUAAACUACUUUGCAUGUCUUAUUGAUGAAAUUAAUUAUACAUUCAUGAUUGUAUAUUGCUUACUGAUAAAAUGAUAAUGAAUUGUUUGCUUUGACAUGUACAGAAAUACAUGUGUGUGAAUAGACUAGGUGCACACUUACCAUUUAACUGUUUGCAAAAAUGUUUUAAAAAAGGGUGUUUUUAAAUCUGCGAAUUGUAUAAUACAAUUGAGGUUUUGCCUUUUGUUGUUUUCUUUAGCUGCUGUUGAUGAUUUAAUUAAGAUAUAUAUGGAUUUUGUUUGACUCAGACAGUUGGUUUAAAUUCCUAAGUUUUUGUUGGUGUGGGAUAAUAUUGCACUAUUAGUGGAUUUGUGUAGUUACAUCACAAGUAAGUAAAUACAAUUUUUGUUUUCGUUUUGUAUUGUGAAUGUAUCUCUAUUCAAGACAACAAAAGCACAGCUGUUUGCUUGAAUAUAUAUGCUUAUUGAACUAAAGAAAAAAUAAACUUGAAAAAAAA